AUUGAACGCUGGCGGCAGGCUUAACACAUGCAAGUCGAGCGAGCGGCGGACGGGUGAGUAAUGUCUGGGAAACUGCCUGAUGGAGGGGGAUAACUACUGGAAACGGUAGCUAAUACCGCAUACCAUCAGAUGUGCCCAGAUGGGAUUAGCUAGUUGGUGGGGUAAGGGCUCACCUAGGCGACGAUCCCUAGCUGGUCUGAGAGGAUGACCGGCCACACUGUAACUGAGACACGGUCCAGACUCCUACGGGAGGCAGCAGUGGGGAAUAUUGCACAAUGGGCGCAAGCCGGAUGCAGCCAUGCCGCGUGUGUGAAGAAGGCCUUCGGGUUGUAAAGCACGUUCAGCGGGGAGGCGUUACCCGCAGAAGAAGCACCGGCUAACUCCGUGCCAGCAGCCGCGGUAAUUC
rnacentral:rRNA from 1 species